GACGGAGGAUGCAAGUGUUAUCCGGAAUCACUGGGCGUAAAGCGUCUGUAGGUGGUUUAAAAAGUCUACUGUUAAAAAUUGAAGCUUAACUUCAAAGAUGCCGUAGAAACUUUAAACUUGAGGAUGGUAGGGUAGAGGAAUUUCCAGUGGAGCGGUGAAAUGCGUAGAUCUUGGAAAGACCACCAAUGGCGAAGGCACUCUACUGGGCCAUGACUGACACUAAGAGACGAAAGCUAGGGGAGCAAAUGGG
rnacentral:rRNA from 1 species